AGCAUUACUGAAAUCCGGAAAUGUUCAGAUCAUUUUUCCUUUUCCUUUUCUCUGUUUCGAGGUUCCGUCUGGGAGCCGUGGUGCCAACCCAUUGUGAGAAAAAUGGCUGUUCCCAGUAUCUUCAGUUGGCACCGGAAGGACCAGUUCUAGGAAGUCUCCCAGGGAAGCUGCUUUUUAUACCUCUGCUCUAAUUUUAGAGACAAGAGGUUUGGAUAAUGUGAACAUGCAUCCACCUUACAAGAGGUUUCUAUAAACUGAACUUGAAUGGAGCCUUUCAAGGGUCAUGUUUGUCUCACUGAAGGUCUGGAUUUCAAAUGAAGGGCUUUAUAAACAUCAGUCAUUCCUGAUUUCUCCAUUUAAAGUGGCAGUGACAGAAUCAAGUUCCAAAUUGCCGGUUAUGGGAAAGAGUUUUUACAAAUUAGGAGAGCCUGUGAAUAUGAACAGAAAAGAAGGACAAAGAUAUCUCAGUUUCUCUUUCCACCAAAGCUAGGAGCUGAGUCCCAUGUGAUUAAGUGACUUGAUUGCUCCAAACAGUGCUUAUUAACUACAACCAACAAAAAAUGGCUGCAUUUUGUGAAUCAGUCUCCACAUCUGUAAUUACUAAGGACUUUGUUAGCUGGGUCUCCCAGAGUAGCUCCCCUGUGACCAGAGAUCUUUGUCAUGAGCCUGGCUGGCCUCCCAGCACCACCUACUUCCAUCUGAGCUGGAUGCCACGAGAUCCCACCCAAAGGAGUCCAGCCUCCCUUGGAACAAUGAGCAAUUCUUGGGAGACGCCACUGGAACGCGACUGCAGUGGCACAGGAAGGCUGAUAACAUCUCCCGAGCCACAGCGGCCCUUUGUGUCGGCAGACACAAGUGGGAUGUUCCUUCUUAAGCUUUCCAGAGCCAGGAGGAAGUGGGCCUUGAAACACAAUGCUCAUUGAAAUUGGCUUUCAUCUGGGGGCUUUCGCAGCGUAAGCGCCGCAUGGUGAUGUGCUUUCCAUCUGCGGCCGAGGUCUCCUGAUGCAUUUCCUCUGUUUGUUCCAGAGGGAUGGAUGGCAGCACCUUGAAGCAGACACACAUUGUACUAACUGGUGGGCAUUAUUCUGGACGUCGGAAAUCUGUAGUCCUGAGCAACAGCAGUAUCCUCAGGAGCCUCUGAUGGAAGUGGAUGACAUUUGGAGAGUUUCUCUCAAUGAGAAAAGGCCACAUACACUUAAGACGCUAGAGUUUAAACUCUGGAGAGCUGUAUAGUAAGGACUGUUACACACCAGUGCUUCACCAUAUUUGUUGGAGAUUGGGCUAAAGAAGAAAUAGAGUUGAAGACAUUGUCACUAAGAGAUUGUCACUUCAGCCAUGCACUGAGACGCUGUGAAAGCAAGCCACAGAGCCCAACAGUAUCAUAUGACUAUGAAUUGGACUUCUGCUUCAGGAUGUCUUUUUGCAGGAUUCUUGGUGGUUUGUAAAGUCUUGCAAUUAACCUGAAGAGAGGCUCUUCAGCAGAGAUGUAGGCCAAGGCUGGUUGCAAGUACAAGUAUCAUAUGAGACUGCCAUGUUGGCAAGGAGAGAAUUCAGUAUAGUAUUAUAUGGACAAAAUGUAGCCUUUUCUGAAGAGUAAAUGUUCUCAUCAAUCCUAUAGAAUAACUUACCUUUUUUGCUAUAAGGUACUGUGGAAAGAGAUAGACAUGUGGUUUACUUAUUUGGCAUCUCCAUAGCAGAAAUAUUUCAGGAAAGCUCAAAUGAGAUGAGAUUGCUAAGAAGAAACUGGAAAUAACCAGUCUUUCACAAACUAAUUACUGAGCAUUAGGCCUGAUCCCAGCUCAUGGAUCACAAGUACUCUCGCUGGAUCCCCUGUGUGCCACCUUUAAAAGCACUCUAAAAAAAGACCCUUACUCCCAUCUGCCUCCAAUGAGUAAGUGCCAUCCAGUCUGAAAGAGAGAAGAAUGCUUUUUUUUCCCUCUUGAUUACUUCUCUGUCCAGACCAAGACAUCAUGAGGCUGAGCUGGGGCAGGGGACAUGGCAAACAAGGCAGGCAAAGCAGGCAUGCAAGAGGGCAGACUGCCUGCCGCAUGAUAAUAUUGAAGAACCACUGGAAUCAGAAGUUCGGGCAAAGGCAGACUGCAAGAGAAAUCACUUUGAAGAAUAUAACAUGAAAAACUAUUGAAAAAGGGGGGAAAUUAAUUUUUUAUAAUGAUCUGUAUUUUUGUUGUUCUUGUUGUCCUUACUGAAACAGGUCAGGUGUGCUAAAUAAAAGGCAGCAGGAUAUGCAUUAGAGAGA